CAGUCGCCGCGGUAAUACGAACCGUGCGAACGUUAUUCGGAAUUACUGGGCUUAAAGCGCGUGUAGGCGGGCCGCCACGUCGGUUGCUGAAAUCCCCCGGCUCAACCGGGGAAGUGGCAUCGAUACGAGCGGCCUUGAGGGGGGUAGGGGGAUCUGGAACUUCCGGUGGAGCGGUGAAAUGCGUUGAGAUCGGAAGGAACGCCCGUGGCGAAAGCGAGGUCCUGGACCCUUUCUGACGCUGAGACGCGAAAGCCAGGGGAGCGAACGGGAUUAGAUACCCGCGUAGUCCCUGUCUCUUAUA
rnacentral:rRNA from 1 species